AAUAGAUACCCUGGUAGUCCACACCGUAAACGUUGGGCGCUAGGUGUGGGGUCCAUUCCACGGAUUCCGUGCCGCAGCUAACGCAUUAAGCGCCCCGCCUGGGGAGUACGGCCGCAAGGCUAAAACUCAAAGGAAUUGACGGGGGCCCGCACAAGCGGCGGAGCAUGCGGAUUAAUUCGAUGCAACGCGAAGAACCUUACCUGGGUUUGACAUACACCCUGCCGCUCCAGAGAUGGGGCUUCUUUUGGGGGUGUACAGGUGGUGCAUGGCUGUUGUCAGCUCGUGUCGUGAGAUGUUGGGUUAAGUCCCGCAACGAGCGCAACCCUCGUUCUAUGUUGCCAGCACGUAAUGGUGGGGACUCAUAGGAGACUGCCGGGGUCAACUCGGAGGAAGGUGGGGAUGACGUCAAGUCAUCAUGCCCCUUAUGUCCAGGGCUUCACGCAUGCUACAAUGGCCGGUACAAAGGGCUGCGAUCCCGCAAGGGGGANCGAAUCCCGAAAAAGCCGGUCUCAGUUCGGAUUGGGGUCUGCAACUCGA
rnacentral:rRNA from 1 species